AAGUUCCAAGCCAGCAAGGCCUACAGUGUGAGACCUGUCUCCAAGGGAAGGUGGCUAGAGAGAUGGCUCAGUGGUCAAGAGCACCUGUUCUUGCAGAGGCCCUGGUUCAGUCCCCAGCACCCACGUGGCCGCUCACAACCAUCUGUAACUCCAGCUCCAGGGGACCUGCUGCUGUCUUCUGGUUUCUUGGGCACCAGGCACACAUGUGCUGCAUACACAUACAUGAAGACAAAACCUAAUAAACCUAAAAUACACAAACACAUGCAUGCACACACUUGCAGAUCCAGUACUUGGGAAGUAAAGGCUUGGCAUCAUCCUUCUAUAGCAAGUUUGAGGCUAGACUGUACUAGAUUAGACCUUGCCUCAAAAGAAAAAAAUAAAGGCCAUACGCCUUUAAUCCCAGUAUUCAGGAGUUAGAGGCAGAAAGGUGUCUAUAAGUGUGAGGCCAGCCUGGUCCACAUAUGGAGUUCUAGGACAGCCAGGGCUACAUAGAGACCUUUUCUCAAAAGAGAAAGAAAAACCAAAAAGCAUGGUGUCUCACGUAAGCUCUGGCGUUUCCCCCAGAAGGGAGCAGAAACCACAGAGUGCAAACUGUCUGAGGAAUCUGGACUCAGAGGAGUUGGGGUGCACUGGGGAACCUGAGGAGCAGGCUUCUGAGCAAGAGAGGGAGAAGUUUCUGGCUAACAUGG
rnacentral:lncRNA from 1 species